CUUUACGUUUGUUUUGCCCUUUUGGGGCUAAUUUCAGCCUUGCAAGUGAACCUUGUUUUAUACAAUUACAUCCACCAGUCAGCCAGCUCACAGACGCGUCUGCUGCGGCCAAUACUUUUAUUGGUCACAUGGUCCGUCACAUGGACCCGACGCACUAGCGUAGCUUCCGCAAACAAUGCAUGACGCAUCACGCUGUUACGAUUCAUCGGCCAAUCAGGUAGCUUUGUUCCUGAAUUUUUUUUAGGCUACGUGUGGACGCAGAUAUUUUUGAGAACUAACACGUGUGGACAGAUACAUUUAUUUAGACGGGAGUACAAAAAUAUCCUGAUAAAUAAAUAUCCAUAUACGUGUAGUUCGGG